AGAAUGGUAGACAGAGAUCUCUACAUGAAAAAGAGUGGCAGAAGGAGGGCUGGAAGACAGAUGUGGGAAAUGCGCUCCUGUGUCUUAGGGAUCUGUCCCAGGACCUGACCCAUGCUAAGAAAAGAUUCUGACACCAUGGAAGGAGGAUGCUGUAUAUUUGCUGAUAACUAAUGGACACUGCUAAACCUGCUAAGCUUCAGGGAUGAUGCAAAAGUGCACAAAUAGCUUCUCACUACAAGAAUUAUCCAGGCCACACCAGCUAUA